rnacentral:rRNA from 1 species
UGGCUCAGGAUGAACGCUAGCGACAGGCUUAACACAUGCAAGUCGAGGGGCAGCAUAAAAGUAGCAAUACUUGGUGGCGACCGGCGCACGGGUGAGUAACGCGUAUGCAACCUACCUAUCAGAGGGGAAUAACCCGGCGAAAGUCGGACUAAUACCGCAUAAAACAGGGGCACCGCAUGGUGAUAUUUGUUAAAGAAAUUCGCUGAUAGAUGGGCAUGCGUUCCAUUAGGUAGUUGGUGAGGUAACGGCUCACCAAGCCGACGAUGGAUAGGGGAACUGAGAGGUUGGUCCCCCACACUGGUACUGAGACACGGACCAGACUCCUACGGGAGGCAGCAGUGAGGAAUAUUGGUCAAUGGGCGGGAGCCUGAACCAGCCAAGUCGCGUGAAGGAAGAAGGAUCUAUGGUUCGUAAACUUCUUUUGCAGGGGAAUAAAGUGCAGGACGUGUCCUGUUUUGUAUGUACCCUGAGAAUAAGGAUCGGCUAACUCCGUGCCAGCCGCGGC